UCUUCAUUUUGAGUACUCUCUCACCGGUCAGAAUUGCGAGAGAGCACGUAAAAUGAAGAGA
rnacentral:pre_miRNA from 1 species